AGGUGAGGAAAAAAAUAUUAAAUCAUGUAUAGCAGACGCGUUACAAUUUUCAAGUAAAGAGUCUGACAGCGUCCUCUCAAAACAUCCGCAAAUGACAGAUAAUGCGAAAUAUUUCAAGGAAAUUCUUCGCCAGCAAAGUUUCUUUAAAACUCAGUUGUGACAGAUGGCAGAUGAUUUGAGAGAAAUAAAAACUAUGAUAACCGGUGAUGGAGGUUACUGUUUAGAACUUUGGCUGAUAACACUUAUCACAAAUGCACCAGAGAAAAGCGCAGAAGCACGAUACACACAAUGUCAUUGUUCUGUUAGAAAUUGUGUUGAAAGAAUGUUUGGUGUUUUAAAGAAUGUAUGGGAGAUGUCUUCUCAGUCAUCGUGUCUUACACUACGAUCCUAUAAUCGCAGCAAACAUAAUCGUAGCUUGUGCUGUAUUAUACAAUAUACGUUUUCAUUAUAAUCUUAUGAAUCAUGAAAUUGACAUUGAUGAAGAGGGUGAGGCUGCAGCUCAGCAAAGAGCAAUACUUCCAGAUGUUUUUCAAGUAUGUAAUCGUAUUGGAGCUCAAGCUAAAGAAAUAAAUAGAGCUAAUGAAGGAAAUAUAAAUUGUAAUGACAGGUUAACAGAAGCAAGAAAGAGUUCAAAGAAGAAUUCUUCGCACUCAGUUUGGUUUACGUCAAUAAGAAUAAACAAUAAGUUAUCAAAAUUAUUUUUAU